GACGAACGUUGGCGGCGUGCUUAACACAUGCAAGUCGAACGGAAAGGCCCUGCUUUUGUGGGGUGCUCGAGUGGCGAACGGGUGAGUAACACGUGAGUAACCUGCCCUUGACUUUGGGAUAACUUCAGGAAACUGGGGCUAAUACCGGAUAGGAGCUCCUGCUGCAUGGUGGGGGUUGGAAAGUUUCGGCGGUUGGGGAUGGACUCGCGGCUUAUCAGCUUGUUGGUGGGGUAGUGGCUUAUCAAGGCUUUGACGGGUAGCCGGCCUGAGAGGGUGACCGGCCACAUUGGGACUGAGAUACGGCCCAGACUCCUACGGGAGGCAGCAGUGGGGAAUAUUGCACAAUGGGCGGAAGCCUGAUGCAGCAACGCCGCGUGCGGGAUGACGGCCUUCGGGUUGUAAACCGCUUUCGCCUGUGACGAAGCGUGAGUGACGGUAAUGGGUAAAGAAGCACCGGCUAACUACGUGCCAGCAGCCGCGGUGAUACGUAGGGUGCGAGCGUUGUCCGGAUUUAUUGGGCGUAAAGGGCUCGUAGGUGGUUGAUCGCGUCGGAAGUGUAAUCUUGGGGCUUAACCCUGAGCGUGCUUUCGAUACGGGUUGACUUGAGGAAGGUAGGGGAGAAUGGAAUUCCUGGUGGAGCGGUGGAAUGCGCAGAUAUCAGGAGGAACACCAGUGGCGAAGGCGGUUCUCUGGGCCUUUCCUGACGCUGAGGAGCGAAAGCGUGGGGAGCGAACAGGCUUAGAUACCCUGGUAGUCCACGCUGUAAACGGUGGGUACUAGGUGUGGGGUCCAUUCCACGGGUUCCGUGCCGUAGCUAACGCUUUAAGUACCCCGCCUGGGGAGUACGGCCGCAAGGCUAAAACUCAAAGGAAUUGACGGGGCCCCGCACAAGCGGCGGAGCAUGCGGAUUAAUUCGAUGCAACGCGUAGAACCUUACCUGGGUUUGACAUGGAUCGGGAGUGCUCAGAGAUGGGUGUGCCUCUUUUGGGGUCGGUUCACAGGUGGUGCAUGGCUGUCGUCAGCUCGUGUCGUGAGAUGUUGGGUUAAGUCCCGCAACGAGCGCAACCCUUGUUCACUGUUGCCAGCACGUUAUGGUGGGGACUCAGUGGAGACCGCCGGGGUCAACUCGGAGGAAGGUGGGGAUGACGUCAAGUCAUCAUGCCCCUUAUGUCCAGGGCUUCACGCAUGCUACAAUGGCUGGUACAGAGAGUGGCGAGCCUGUGAGGGUGAGCGAAUCUCGGAAAGCCGGUCUCAGUUCGGAUUGGGGUCUGCAACUCGACCUCAUGAAGUCGGAGUCGCUAGUAAUCGCAGAUCAGCAACGCUGCGGUGAAUACGUUCCCGGG
rnacentral:rRNA from 1 species